rnacentral:misc_RNA from 1 species
AAGUCGUAACAAGGUUUCCGUACGUGAACCUGCGGAAGGAUCAUUAACACGGUCCCCAUGCCCCCGAAUAACCCCACAGUUUAAUGUGAAGCUCCAUGUAAUACAUUGGGUAAAAAAACCGAACGACUGUUAACAAUGGAUAUCUUGGUUCUC